rnacentral:piRNA from 1 species
UUGUUGAGGGAGUAGAACAGAGG